AGCGAACGUUAGCGGCGCGCCUAACACAUGCAAGUCGCACGAGAAAGGGCUUCGGCCCCGGUAAAGUGGCGCACGGGUGAGUAACACGUGGGCAACCUGCCCAACCCUGGGGGAUAACCUGCCGAAAGGCGGGCUAAUACCGCGUACGAGGGCUCGACUUCGGUCGGGUUCUGAAAGCAGGCCUCUGUACACAAGCUUGCGGGGUUGGAUGGGCCCGCGGUCCAUCAGCUAGUUGGUGAGGUAAUGGCUCACCAAGGCUACGACGGAUAGCUGGUCUGAGAGGAUGAGCAGCCACACUGGAACUGAGACACGGUCCAGACUCCUACGGGAGGUAGCAGUGGGGAAUCUUGCGCAAUGGACGAAAGUCUGACGCAGCGACGCCGCGUGGGUGACGAAGGCCUUCGGGUUGUAAAGCCCUGUGGGGCGAGACGAACAGCUUCUGGUCAAAUAGGCCAGGGGUCUGACGGUAUCGCCUUAGCAAGCACCGGCUAACUCUGUGCCAGCCGCCGCGGUAAUAC
rnacentral:rRNA from 1 species